AGAAGGCAGAUUGAAUAGAAGGUAGGUACAUAAAAGGAAACCUGUGUGCUUUGGGGUGUUUGUGUUGCACUCUCUGUAUCCAGGAGAUAAUGAGUUUAACCAAGAGCUGACUCAAUUAUCUCCCAGACACAGAGGUGCCUGGGCGGGCUUAUGCUACAAAUAAUGGAGACCCCAUGCUGACAGUCUGGGUAUAAAUCUAUGUGCUUUGCUCAAUAAAAAAAGAUCUACUUCAUACUUCACUA